rnacentral:snRNA from 1 species
GGAUGUGGGAGUGAUCUAGCUGCAACUUGGUCAACCCGAAUGACCACCAGGCUGGUUAGCAGGUUGAUUCAGUUGACUUGGCUGGCUAGAGCGGUGUCUCCUUCCCCCAUCACGGCCCUAUGAGUGUCCCUCCCAAAGAGAACAAUCACCCUUGAUAGAAGGUUCUGUAGUGAAGGAUAUACAAGUAGCUGUGCUUCCAUGCUAGAAUCUCCUAGCAAGUUGUCAUGGAAUCAAUUUGACUGAUUUGUGAAUGACAUUUAGCCUAAACAUGCAGACCUAU